GAGGUGCAACACGGCUUCUAACACUACACCUGUUAGAUUUUAGAGGAGCAAAAAAAACUGAAUGAGUGUAGUACAUUUGAUCAGCUGUGUCCCAGCCAAUCGGUCUUCUCAGAGGUAGGACGAUGCAGCAUCGCGUCCAUAGAAAAGCGAGUGGGACUCAGAGGGGCUCAGUGUAGCAGGCAAGCGGUGCGUGGACUAAAAAGAGCAGUUGUGAAGAUGCUGAGAGGUGAUUCCUGAUUGGAAGAGAUACACUAAUAUUUACUUGAACAAUGGAAGAGCCAGAAAAAGAAGAAAAAGGCUUCCCCUCGUUCUGUGUUGGCUGUGGGCUCGUGAUCCGUGACCGCUUCGUGUUGAGUGUGUUUCCUGACCUGCUCUGGCACGUGGCGUGUCUUAAGUGUGCGGAGUGUCAACAAAACCUUGAAGAGUCUCACACCUGCUUCAUUAAAGACGGAAAGACCCUGUGUAAAGACGAUUAUAGCAGAUUAUACGCCAGCAAAUGUGCAAAAUGUCUGAAGUCCUUCAGCAGUCACGAUUACGUCAUGCGUGCAGGAGUUAACGUCUAUCACGUGCAGUGUUUCCGCUGUGAGCGCUGCGAUCGCCAGCUGCAGCCUGGAGAUGAGUUUACCAUCCGAGACGGCUUCCUGUACUGCACUGGUCAUGAAAACUCCAGCCAUGGAUUAAUAACGCUUACGCGUAACUCAGUACAUGUGACUGAGCUGGACAGAUGUGAUGAAGGAGCAGAUUUUUGUAUAUUUCAUGCAGACACUUCCUGGUCAGGUGGAGAAGGUGACGCUGGAUGGCUGGCUGCACCCAUGAAGCCCGAGAAGACUGUACGUGUGAGGACGGCGCUCAGCAAGUCUCAGCUCCACGUGCUGCUCACAUGCUACAGCGUGAACCCGCGACCGGAUGCUAGUCUCAAAGAACGGCUGAUGGAGAUGACGGGUUUGAGUUCGAGGGUCAUCCGCAUCUGGUUCCAGAACAAGCGAUGCAAAGACAAGAAGAAGGGCAUGUUGGAGAGAGAGACGAAGCAUGAGAGUGGAGAACAGAUCGAUACGAUGGACGAGCCGGUGUCCACUGUCACUGCUGAGAACCUGGACAUAGACACAUUGAUGCACCCACUGGACCUGCAGACUCUGCAGCAAUCCUGGAAACUCCUGACGAGUCUCUUGAGUUCAGACAUUGAUGAGACGCUCUAUCAGGAAGCUGUGACUCUCGAUCAGCCCUAAUGUUCGCUGCAAAGUAGUGAACACUACCGGAGAGAUUAGCUGCUUUAUUGUAGGGGUUCUGAGGUCAAUCGUAUCAAUCGUUUAGUUUCGUAGGGUCAGUCCAGUCAGAUUUACUUUGUACUCAGUGUGCAUACAGUAUGUUGAUUAAUCUUUUAAUGAUGUGGCAUGUUAGCUUAGCUGAUGUGGUCUACAUUUAGCGAUGCUCACAAACCCGCAUAAAAGACCGAAAGAAAGAGUUGGCGUAAAGAAAUGACAAUUAAAUGGUAAUUAUAUGACAAAUAAAAGAGUAGUUAUAGCAAUUUUCUCAAUUUAAGGAAAUAUUUUGCACUGCUUUCUUCCUAAAAACAACGUUUUCUUUGCUAAAUAAAUGUAACCCACAUAGAAAAGUACUAAUAAAAUUUCUAAUAAAAUUAUUUGACGUCCGUCAAUUAGAGUUCACAUUAGUGAAUUAGAUUUUGUUUAAGUUUACACAAUUUACAUCAACUCAGGAGACCUUGAAUAUGAACGGAGACGAACAUGUCCUUUAAACUAACUGGAUUUUCAUGUAGAAUUACACAAACUCGCAGGGUUGGAUGCAAGUACAGAGAUGUUUGAUGACACACAGGGAGUGAUCACACUGAACAGACAGGAACCUGAGUGAAGCAAACAGAAGUGGAGACAGUCACACAAAAAAAGGUCACGAAAUUUUGAACACUCAAAAGUAAUGGGACUAAAAAGAACACAUACGAACGAAAUGAACAAAUCGUGAGCCAAACUCAUGAGUCAGAACUGCCAAAAGUCGAUCGAGCAGAGCCAUAAAGAGAAAACAGGAUCGGAAAACUGGAAAAACAGGACAAGAUCAGAAACCGUGAAUAAAGAGCGAUCAAACAAAUGGCUCAGUACCUCCCAGUGAACAAAAGAACACACAAUGCUUAAAAAGGGUGAGUUCCAGUCAAACACAGUGGGGAAUAGGUGAACAUGAUUCCUGAGAGGUCCGGUUGACUGAGACUGAGUGCUGGUGGCUGCUGGGAGUCCGUGGAGACCAUGAAUCAGUGUUCGGCUCGGACCCUUAGUUCCAGUGAAAGGAACUCUUAAUGUUUCAGCUUCAUACCAAAACUUUUUGGACAAUUUCAUGCUCCCAACUUUGUGUGAACAGUUUGAGGAUGACUCCUUCCUGUUCCAACAUGACUGCACACCAGUGCACAAAGCAAGGUCCAUAAAGACAUGGAUGAGUGAGUUUGGUGUGGAGGAACUUCACAGAGUCCUGACCUCAACCUGAUAGAACACCUUUGAGAUGAAUUAGAGCGGAGACUGAGAGCCAGGCCUUCUCGUCCAACAUCAGUGCCUGACCUCACAAAUGCGCUUCUAGAGGAAUGGUCAAAAAUUCCCAUAAACACACUCCUAAACCUUGUGGAAAGCCUUCCCAGAAGAGUUGAAGGUGUUAUAGCUGCAAAGGGCGGGACAACUCCAUAUUAUGUUCAUGUGCAUGUAAAGGCAGGGGUUGCAAAACGUUUGGCAAUAUAGCGUAACAUAAUCUUUAGUAGAGUCGAUAAAGUUUUUGUGUAAUUAUUCUAUAAUGAAAUACUGAUUUAUAUGGAAGAUCAUCGAAAACUUUAAACGCUUUGGUUUGUGGUUGAACAAGCUUAUUUUGGAUCUUAUAUGAUAGGGUGUGAGCAGACAUAAUGGUGGUCCAGUUGCAGGAUCCUGUGCCCUAAUUGCUGUGGCCACGGGUGCAAGUCCAGGGCAGGAAGCUAACCCAGCAAGUGAAGCAUUUUACUCUUAGUGCCUAAGCCUGGAUAAAAUGUGAGAAUUCUUUCAGGAAGAGCAUCUGGAGUUAAACCUGUGCCAAACCAAAAAUAUGUGGCCCAAAUGAUCUGCUGUGGUGACCCCGAACAGGGAGGAGCUAAAAGAAGAACAACAACAUGAUUAUGAUAUGAUUGGCUUUAAGUGUUUCUUAAGUGUUUGGAGAUGAGACAGAUUGGUGAAGAUUCCUACUGGUAAUCCAGACUGUAUGAAGAGUUUUGGGGAAAAAAUGGCCUCAUUAUUGAG